rnacentral:misc_RNA from 1 species
CAAAUGCGAAACGUAUUGUGACAUGCCAUCUUUGAGAAACAACGAAUAUUUGAACGCACCUUGCGUCCGCGGGCCAGUGCGCGCGGGCAUACUUGAUUGAGCAUCGACAGCAGUCGCCCACCGCGUUGUGCGUGGGUGGACGUGGCGGUCGUGUGCUUGCAUGCGACGGCUGAAAGACAGCGUGGCGCAGGGCGCGCCGUGGGAUACGCGCAUGGCGUCAGCACGGUGCGCACCCAAGCCAGAUGCCGUGAUGGGUGGAUGGGUGAGAUGGUGGAUCGGGUGCACAGCACCCGCCAGUAAAACACCCGCCAGCAAAAGAGAAAAAGAUCUCAGUCAAGUAGGACGACCCGCUGAACUUAA